UCUCCCCCCUUUCCGUUGUCUCCCGUCGCUGCGGUAAGGCGGCUGCCGGAGUGCCGGGAUCCUGACGGGCGGGGGCAGGGGUGGUCCUUGCCGGGCUCUUCCCUUCACAUCUUGCCCUCUCGGAGCCUGGCGGUGCUUCGGGGAGUCAACACAGGGGGAUAGAGCACCUUUCCCUCACAAAAACCCAGUGCGGAGCCUUCCCCUCCGCCCUGCAUCCUGUCGUGAGGCACAAGCGGUCCCGCUCCCUCCCUUCCCCGAGGCCCCUCGCUCUCAGGGCUGACUUCUCUCUCUCUACCCCCCGCAGUGUGGAGGGACGAAGGCAGCGGGAAGCGUCCCAUGGCACCGGCAAGGCCGUCAGAUGGCCCCGAAGGCUUUGUCCGCUGGGCGGCCGCGCCCGGCGUGAGCAGCAGGCACGGGGUAGUAGGCCUUGCCAGCGGGGACCGCUGGGGAGCUGGAGUCGUGCCUUUGACCGUCCGUAGAGGCCCCACUUAGCAAUUUCAUGUUUGAAAUGUUCUAAAUGUGGAUGAUCAAACCCAAACUGGAAGCAAUGCUCAGGACUUCUUAGGAACAUAUACCUUCUGCUAGAAAGGAGGAAACCAGCAUGUGCAAGGGACUUGAACUGAUAUUAGACAUCUUAUGGUUUCAA